rnacentral:rRNA from 1 species
UUGGGUAACACUAACUGGAGGACCGAACCGACUAAUGUUGAAAAAUUAGCGGAUGACUUGUGGCUGGGGGUGAAAGGCCAAUCAAACCGGGAGAUAGCUGGUUCUCCCCGAAAGCUAUUUAGGUAGCGCCUCGUGAAUUCAUCUCCGGGGGUAGAGCACUGUUUCGGCAAGGGGGUCAUCCCGACUUACCAACCCGAUGCAAACUGCGAAUACCGGAGAAUGUUAUCACGGGAGACACACGGCGGGUGCUAACGUCCGUCGUGAAGAGGGAAACAACCCAGACCGCCAGCUAAGGUCCCAAAGUCAUGGUUAAGUGGGAAACGAUGUGGGAAGGCCCAGACAGCCAGGAUGUUGGCUUAGAAGCAGCCAUCAUUUAAAGAAAGCGUAAUAGCUCACUGGUCGAGUCGGCCUGCGCGGAAGAUGUAACGGGGCUAAACCAUGCACCGAAGCUGCGGCAGCGACACUAUGUGUUGUUGGGUAGGGGAGCG